ACAGCUGAAGAAUGCUUUUCGGGUCUUACCUGCCGCCUUUUCAAGUAGUCCAGUGCUAUCUGUACAUUUUGCAGUCUGUGGAAGCGCAUGCGGCCUUUCUCCCGAGGCUGUGAGAGGGAGAUGAGGGAAAAUGGUUCACCAUGAAACACUGUGCACAUCGCAGGAUCACCCUGUACAGGGUGCUAAUCCAUCACAAAGUUUGGCUACAGACUCGGUCAAUCAGCCCCUACUGCGCCUAGUGUUUCCCAGUGGAACCGGACCAGCUGCGACCCUGAACAAGAUGAAGCAGUUGACAACAAUUAAAUGAAUUAAAACACAGCGUCCAAUUGCCCGAUUGUGUCAUGCUUCCUCUCCACCAAUGCCGAUCCCUGCUCUGAUUAAGGAGAACGAAGCUAACCCACGCCCCUUCCAACACAUGGGUAACAGCUUGGACAUUCUGACUAACUGAAUUGCUGUAAGAUUGCUAGUGUAACAGACUUUAUUGUGGUCAAGUGUGCUGACGAUGUUUGAUUUAUGUAGUAUGUGCUGCGCCUCAAAAGAACAAGCUAGUAAACUAUUAUGCUCCCGAUAA